rnacentral:rRNA from 1 species
CAUAAGCGGAGGAAAAGAAACUAACAAGGGAUUCCCUAGUAACUGCGAGUGAAGCGGGAAAAGCUCAAAUUUAAAAUCUGGCGGUCUCUGGCCGUCCGAGUUGUAAUCUAGAGAAGUAAUGCCCGUGCUGGACCGUGUAUAAGUCUCCUGGGAUGGGGCGUCAUAGAGGGUGAGAAUCCCGUCUUUGACACGGACUACCAGUGCAUUGUGGUAUGCUCUCAAAGAGUCGAGUUGUUUGGGAAUGCAGCUCAAAAUGGGUGGUAAAUUCCAUCUAAAGCUAAAUAUUGGCGAGAGACCGAUAGCGAACAAGUACCGUGAGGGAAAGAUGAAAAGAACUUUGGAAAGAGAGUUAAACAGUACGUGAAAUUGCUGAAAGGGAAACGCUUGAAGUCAGUCGCGUUGGCCGGGGAUCAGCCUUGCUUUUGCAUGGUGUACUUUCUGGUUGACGGGUCAGCAUCAAUUUUGACCGCUGGAAAAAGACCUGGGGAAUGUGGCAGCUUCGGCUGUGUUAUAGCCCCUAGUCGCAUACAGUGGUUGGGAUUGAGGAACUCAGCACGCCGCAAGGCCGGGUUUCGACCACGUUCGUGCUUAGGAUGCUGGCAUAAUGGCUUUAAGCGACCCGUCUUGAAACACGGACCAAGGAGUCUAACAUGCCUGCGAGUAUUUGGGUGGAAAACCCAAGUGCGUAAUGAAAGUGAAAGUUGAGAUCCCUGUCGUGGGGAGCAUCGACGCCCGGACCAGAACUUUUGGGACGGAUCCGCGGUGGAGCAUGUAUGUUGGGACCCGAAAGAUGGUGAACUAUGCCUGAAUAGGGUGAAGCCAGAGGAAACUCUGGUGGAGGCUCGUAGCGAUUCUGACGUGCAAAUCGAUCGUCAAAUUUGGUAUAGGGGCCGAAGACUAAUCUGACCCUUCUAGUAGCUGGUUCUUGCCGAAGUUCCCC